rnacentral:misc_RNA from 1 species
GCUGUAAGAUAUGAUGUUUCUGGCACUUCACUCAAACUUGUAUGGUCAAAUGAAGUUGAUAGCUAAAACAAACAUAAGCGUUCUCACAAUUAAUUAAACUUGUUUGUCUAAAUGCAAUUAUUCCAGUUACAUUUUCCUCCACAGAGAUGCUACUCAGCUAAAAACUAUAACAAGGACAAAUUUACCACCUUUUAUUGAUGAUGCAAUAGAUGAAUAUCAAACCUGCAAUUCAGAC